rnacentral:rRNA from 1 species
GGAAGGAUCAUUGUCGAUACCUGCGUAGCAGAACGACCCGAGAACCAGUCAAAACGUCGAGGGCCGGGGGGCCUUGCGGCUCCUCGUCCCCUUAUCUCGGGAGGCGACCACCGCCAACGCGGCCGACCCUCCCGGGCGUACAAACGAACACCGGCGCGAAUUGCGCCAAGGAAUUUGAACGAAAGUGCGCGCUCCCGUCGCCCCGGAAACGGUGCGCGUUCGGGCAGCGUCGUCAUCUUCAAUAUGUCUAAACGACUCUCGGCAACGGAUAUCUCGGCUCUCGCAUCGAUGAAGAACGUAGCGAAAUGCGAUACUUGGUGUGAAUUGCAGAAUCCCGUGAACCAUCGAGUCUUUGAACGCAAGUUGCGCCCGAAGCCGUUAGGCCGAGGGCACGCCUGCCUGGGCGUCACACGUCGUUGCCCCCCGCAACUCCCACGGGAACGCGAGGGGACGGAUGAUGGCCUCCCGCGCGCUUUGCCGCUCGGCUGGCACAAAUACCAAGUCCACGGCGACGGCCGCCACGACAAUCGGUGGUUGCGAAACCUCGGUGCCCUGUCGUGCGCGGGCGUCGCGUUUCGCGGGCUCGCGAAAAACAACUCUUCGCUCCGGCGAAGCUUUCAACGCGACCCCAGGUCAGGCGGGGUUACCCGCUGAAUUU